UUUCCCAUACAGACACACUUUUGUGUCGCUGGCUGCAGGUCGGAAACUUGAACGUCCCAGUAAAUUUUGUCAGGGAUUCUGACCUCGCUGUUCAGCCAAACGUAAUGUUUUAGGCAGUCAUGAUGAACAUUUAACUCUUAAAAUGGUGGCUUAACCGUUUGAGAGGUGGUUACGUUGCGGAGGCUUCGUGUUGGGGUUGUGCUUAACCCAUCUGUGACUACCCUCUGGGCGCAACAUUACCGCAGCUCAUAUGGUACAUUGUGCCUAUUUUGUGACACUCGGGCCCAAUCUGCGAUGCGACUGCCACACACUUGUGGAUUUGCACAGGCCAACAAAUAAGCAGUCUUCGCCGCCUCCGUGCAACGGGCCUCAGGCCUUACCGAC
rnacentral:lncRNA from 1 species